UACGUAUGGUGCAAGCGUUAUCCGGAUUUACUGGGUGUAAAGGGAGCGCAGGCGGUACGGCAAGUCUGAUGUGAAAGCCCGGGGCUCAACCCCGGUACUACAUUGGAAACUGUCGGACUAGAGUGUCGGAGGGGUAAGUGGAAUUCCUAGUGUAGCGGUGAAAUGCGUAGAUAUUAGGAGGAACACCAGUGGCGAAGGCGGCUUACUGGACGAUUACUGACGCUGAGGCUCGAAAGCGUGGGGAGCAAACAGG
rnacentral:rRNA from 1 species